UGCAACACAGGAUAAGCUCUUCCUAUUUUGCAAGAGGAACUGCCUAGGCUGUGUUCCGGUCUCUCAGCCUCGAGCUCACACUGAGUCAUGUGACACUCCUUUGUGAGCAUAGCAGCAGACGGCACCUUGCUGUUGAAAUCCAAGGAGUGCUGGCAGCUGCCGGACAGGAAAACCAACAGAGAUCACACCUCCCAGAAGAUGGCUGUUUCAAAGUGAGUUCUGGGUUUCCAUGGACUCCUCGAGGGAAAUUUCCAGGGAUAUUUUCUACUUGAUUACCUUAUUCAUAUUUAUAUCUCAAGAGCUUUGCCAAAUACAUCAUCUAAACAGAAAAGCAAUAAGAAGUCGUGCAGAAGACUAUUGGACUAAAACUUAGGACCUGAGUUCUGGUACAAAUCAGCAGGAAAGCCAUGGAGAGAAAUCACAACUAGGCAGAGAGGCAGGAGGAAGCAGGCUCCCUGAAGAGCAGAGAGCCCGAUGCAGGGCUCCAUCCCAGGACUCUGGGAUCAUGACCUGAGCCGAAGGCAGAGGCCCUAACCCGCUGAGCCACCCAGGUGCCUCCAUCUUAACCAUUUUUAAAUGUACAAUUCAGUAGUGCUGAGAAUAUUCACAUUGUCAUACAGAUCUCCAGAGCCGCUUCUUCAUGGAAAACUGAACUCUACAGCCAUCAGGCAGCUCCCUGUUUCCCCUUCCUCCCGCCCCUUUUAAUCACCAUUCUGCUUUCCGUUCCCAUGAAUUUGACACUUUAGAUAUCUCACACCCUGGAAUCACAUAGUAUUUAUUUUUCUGUUUGUGGCUUAUUUCACGUAACACAAUGUCCUCCAGGUUCAGCCAUGUUUUAGCAUGUGACAGGACUUUCUUUCUAAAGCUGAAUCAUCUUCAAUCAAACAGAUAGACCUGUUCAUUCAUCUCUUCAUCUGUCCAUGGAUACUUGGGUCACUUCCACCUCUUGGCUCUUAUGAAGGAAGCAGCUGUGAAUAUGAGCAUGUAAAUAUUUCUUCAAGACUCUGUUGUCAGUCUUUUGGAUGUGUACCUUAGAAGUAGGAUUGCUGGAUCAUUUGCUGGGACAGUUUUUUGAGCAAACACCAUACUGUUUUCCACAGUGGCUGCACCAUUUUAUAGUUUCACCUAAGCACACCAGGAUUCCAAUUUCUCCACAUCCUCCCCAACACCUGUUAUUUUUUUGUUUUAUUUUAUAAUAAACACCCUAAUGGAUAUGAGGGGCUUAUACUUUUGGUUUGAAUAUCUCUUAAUAAUUAGUAAAGUUGUACAUCUUUUCAUUUAUUUGUUUACAAUUUCUAUACAUCAUCCUUGGAGAAAUGUUUUUUGAAGACUGUCCAUUUUUUUAAUCGGGUUCUUGGGUUCUUGUUGUCAAGUUGUGAAGGCAUAUUUUUAACCCCCACUUACCAUACAGGUUUGUUGUGAAAUCUAAAACAUCCACGUUUACAUAUCACAUUUAAUGUCAUGUUGUAGGCACCCCAAAAAUUCUACU